rnacentral:rRNA from 1 species
GUGAGCGGGAAGAGCUCAAAUUUGUAAUCUGGCCCUUUCAGGGUCCGAGUUGUAAUCUCGAGAAGUGUUUUCCGCGCCGGACCGCAUACAAGUCUGUUGGAAUACAGCGUCAUAGUGGUGAGAGCCCCGUAAUUGAUGUGGAUGCCCGGUGCUUUGUGAUACACUUUCGAAGAGUCGAGUUGUUUGGGAAUGCAGCUCAAAUUGGGUGGUAAAUUCCAUCUAAAGCUAAAUAUUGGCGAGAGACCGAUAGCGAACAAGUACCGUGAGGGAAAGAUGAAAAGCACUUUGGAAAGAGAGUUAACAGUACGUGAAAUUGUUGGAAGGGAAACGCUUGAAGUCAGACUUGCUAUUCGGAAUUCAGCCGCAAGGUGUACUUUUCGAUUUGCAGGCCAGCAUCAGUUUUUGGGGGUGGAAAAGGGUGGAGAGAAGGUAGCAACCUUGGUUGUGUUAUAGCUCUUUACUGGAUUCAUCUUUGGGGACUGAGGAUCGCAGUGCGCAAUUUACUUUGCAAACCUUUCGAGGUUUUCGUACUUAGGAUGCUGGUGGAAUGGCUUUAAACGACCCGUCUUGAA